CCCUUAGAUGUUCUGGGCCGCACGCGCGCUACACUGACUGGUGCAACAAGUGUCUGACCUUGGCUCGAGAGGCCUGGGCAACCUUUGAACGCUGUUCGUGAUUGGGAUAGACCUUUGCAAUUAUGGGUCUUCAACGAGGAAUUCCUAGUAAACGCAAGUCAUCAGCUUGCAUUGAUUACGUCCCUGCCCUUUGUACACACCGCCCGUCGCACCUACCGAUUGAAUGGUCCGGUGAAAUCUCGGGACGGCGGCUUGGUCGCUUGCGUCCGACUGCUGAAACUUGAUUAAACCAUAUCAUUUAGAGGAAGGUGAAGUCGUAACA
rnacentral:rRNA from 1 species